rnacentral:SRP_RNA from 5 species
UCGUGCUAAGCGGGGAGCUGGCGGUGCCCUGUACCCGAAAUCCGCCUACGCGGGGUCGAAUACCUGCCUGAGGUCCUGUCCUCUUGGGGUCUGACUCGCGCAUGUGGUGUUGACGAUUGGGCCCUAUGCAACGGAACAAUCCGAACCUCGUCAGGUCCGGAAGGAAGCAGCGAUAAGGGUUCUCUUCCGUGUGCCGUAGAUAACCCGAUCUGAGCUAACAGCGCAAGUAACGCCUGGGAAGCUCUAUCGAAGGCAGGUUGCACGA